rnacentral:pre_miRNA from 1 species
AGCCGUCUGUAUCCGUGCUGACAUUUCUUCACACACCAGAGCACAAGGGCUAAUGAGACUCCUCAGAUAAUUGAAGUG